CCAGCCCUGGAAACCAACCCCCAAUCACACUCGCUCCUCUAAGAACAAGAUGAUUUAUCUCCCACUCUGAGUCUGUGGUCCCACCCCUCCUCUUCUGUCUGGACUUCCAAGAGCUGGUCACCCCCUCCAGCUCUCAGCCUUCAUCUUCCAAUUGUCACUUUCUCCUUCACCACUAAGAUCUGGAUUUUUGAUUAGUUGGGCAGACUAGGUUAGGGGGCCAGAGGGAAGAACACCCCAAACUGUCACGUGGCAGACCAUGUCCUCUUUCUGUGACUUCUUAUCAGCUCCCUUCCCCAGCCUUCUCUUUCCUAGCAUUUAAUCACUCUCUGAAGUUUAAAAGUGAAUUAAAACUCAAAGGAGCCUGGGGACAAGGGUACUUCUGUCACACCCUUUCUCUCCUUUCCUUUGGGGACAAGGGUGACCUGGAAGAACAAUAGCGUCCCUCAACCCCUUCUACCAGCCUCAGGGAGAGCAGCAAGAGAAAGAAAGAGAGAAGCAAAUGAAAUUCCUGAAUGGAUAGACAGAUGCUACGUCACCGGAGCCGCAUCCUCCACUCCACAAGAGGCUAGGAGCUGGGGGGAGACAGGCAGUCCAGCUGCAGGGGCCACCGUGCUGCCUCGCCUCUUCACAGGAGCCUGACUCGGCAGGUUUUAAGGGAAGAAAAAGUCUGAGAGACCCACGUUUCCAGGAAGGAGCUGGGGAGCUGAGAAGCAGCAGCCUCAUUUGUUUCUGGUGUCAUCAUAGGUGGACCUCUGGCUGUUGGGUUUCUCACCUGAGCUGGGGCAGGUGGGUGACCCACCACCCUCCCGCCCUCUUUCCUUCCGGAGAUGACUGAGCCACGUCCAGCACCACGGACAGCUCCCCGUGGAAAUCAGAUUUUUCUUCAUGUGAGGACUCUGAAUGACGGAUCGCUCCAAUAGGAGAAAGGGUGAAAGUGAGAUUUUGGGAAGGAGUCAACCUUAGCAAACAUUUGUUGAAGCCCUACUAUGUGAUGAGUGCCAUAUGAAGAAGGUUGAACACAAAGCUGCUGUGGAGAGCUAGCUGUCUACAGAGAAGGCAGACACCAUGCCAUGUUCCACAGGCCCACACAGAGUGCUGGUGAGCCCUGGAAAAGGGCCUUCAGGCUACGUUAGGGAGCUGAGGAAGGCUUCCUGGAUAAGCGACCCAGAACAUUCUGCAAUCUUAUUCCUGCCUUAGGAAGUCCUUCCCAAAGUCUAACCAAGACUUGUACUGCUACAGCACCAGUUCUUUGACCUGUGGCUUGACAUGGCUGAGGGGAGAGCACCCCCAAAGAGAGGCAGGAGAGAGGGUCUUCUGGGACUUCUGCUGGGGUCCUGUUGGAAACCAGCCUUUUCCUUCCCACUACCAUGGAGUUCCAACAGAGGCCAUGAAGGAUGCUGGGAUGGGUCUUAGCAAUGAAGCCCAGGCUGGCCUCCAACUCAAGAAUCCACCAUCUGUCUGCUUCAGCUUCUCAAGUUCUGGGAUCGCAGGUUGGCUACAUGUGUCUGUCUUUGAGUCGGUUUCCCUCACCUCAAGAAAGGCAGGAGCAGCCUGGAGUAGGCAUCUACUUGAUUCUUACAAAAAGUAUAAGCAGCUACUUCACCCAGUUGGCUGUGUUCCUCCAAGAAACCUUCCUGGGUUGGCUAAAAGAUGAGAUUCAGCUGCAGCGGAUCAAAGUUGAUGAAGAUGGAGCAGAAAUGGGAAGAACCCAGCCCCUGGCCUGGGCAACUCAGGCCACCUACAGUCACUGGGAUCAAACCUCCCUGGACCCAUUGCUCCUAUGUCUAUCAUCUGCCCAUUCUGGCCAUCAGUUUACCCUGUCAUUUCAGCUGGGACUCCUGUGUCCUCAGAGAGGGAAAUCUCAUCUCAUGUUCUAAUAAAAUCUUUUGAAUAUUUAGUGAUAACAA